GCCAUGCUAAUUUAAAAAGAAUACUUGAUUUGCAAUUAAGUUGUAAGGCUAUGCCUUGCACGGU
rnacentral:tRNA from 1 species